rnacentral:ncRNA from 2 species
UAAAUAUCAAGAGAGCGACGAGGGAUUCUGGUCCUAUGACUCGCCAGCAACCGAAUGGAGACAUCACGGUGCUACGUCCAGCCUGAAGUAAUUCAGGAAGAUAUUUC